rnacentral:rRNA from 1 species
CCUACGGGUGGCAGCAGUGAGGAAUAUUGGUCAAUGGACGAGAGUCUGAACCAGCCAAGUAGCGUGAAGGAUGACUGCCCUCUGGGUUGUAAACUUCUUUUAUAAAGGAAUAAAACGAGGCACGUGUGCCUUUUUGCAUGUACUUUAUGAAUACGGAUCGGCUAACUCCGUGCCAGCAGCCGCGGUAAUACGGAGGAUGCGAGCGUUAUCCGGAUUUAUUGGGUUUAAAGGGUGCGUAGGCGGCCUUUUAAGUCAGCGGUGAAAGUCUGUGGCUCAACCUUAGCAUUGCCGUUGAAACUGGGAGGCUUGAGUAUGGUUGAGGCAGGCGGAAUGCGUUGUGUAGCGGUGAAAUGCGUAGAUAUCACGAAGAACCCCGAUGGCGAAGGCGGCUUGCCAGGCCAUGACUGACGCUGAUGCACGAAAGCGUGGGGAGCAAACAGGAUUAGAUACCCUUGUAGUC